UCGGGAAUUUUGGGCAAUGGGCGAAAGCCUGACCCAGCAACGCCGCGUGAAGGAUGAAGUAUUUCGGUAUGUAAACUUCGUAAGAAUAGGAAGAAUAAAUGACGGUACUAUUUGUAAGGUCCGGCUAACUACGUGCCAGCAGCCGCGGUAAUACGUAGGGACCAAGCGUUGUUCGGAUUUACUGGGCGUAAAGGGCGCGUAGGCGGUUUGUCAAGUCAGUUGUGAAAUCUCCGAGCUUAACUCGGAACGGUCAACUGAUACUGUCAAACUAGAGUACAGAAGGGGCAAUCGGAAUUCUUGGUGUAGCGGUGAAAUGCGUAGAUAUCAAGAGGAACACCUGAGGCGAAGGCGGGUUGCUGGGCUGAUACUGACGCUGAAGCGCGAAAGCUAGGGUAGCAAACGGGAUUAGAUACCCAUGUAGUCCCUGAGCGGGCUGGCAAGGCGCAU
rnacentral:rRNA from 1 species